AUUCUAAUGGCUAGCAAAACCAGUUCCUUGUUUGUUGGUUUCCUUUUCGCUGUAGGCAUCGUGCUUGCUAUUUCCGAGCAAGUGAUUGCGGCACGAGACAUGCCGAAGAACGAUGAUCAAAUGAAGCAUCCUGAGUUUCUGAAACAUGACCGCAGCGUGCUCAUUCCGGGACUCGGACGAGUGUUGCUGCCACCGGUUUUCAAACAUCACCAUCCACACAGUACCAUCAGUGGUGGUCACACUGGAAGUACUGGCGGAAACUCUGGUGGCACAAGUAUCGGUGGAAAUAGCCAGAUUCCGGGUGGUGAUGACACAUUCGUUCCAAACCCUGGUUUCGAGGUGCCGAUCCCUGGAGGCCGUGGUGCAGCACGUCCUUGAACAUGUGCUGGGCUAUGGAACUUUGAAUCCAUCAGAGAAUAAAGGCAAUCGGUUGUCAUUUUAGUGAAGUCUUAGAGUCUAGUCGUGUUUGCAUUUUCCAGUCGGAAACUAUUUGUUGCCUAAGUAAUAAUGUAUAUCAAUUUCCAAAUUAA